rnacentral:rRNA from 1 species
UUCAUGGCUCAGAUUGAACGCUGGCGGGAUGCUUUACUACGCAAGUCGAACGGCACGAUCAACUGGUAGGCGAGUGGCGAACGGGUGAGUAAUGUAUCGGAACGUGCCCAGUAGCGGGGAUAACUACGCGAAAGCAGCCACAUCGCAUACGCCCCCUUCGGGGGAAAGCAAUCUCCGGGCCUCGCACUAUUAGAGCGGCCGGAUAUCGGAUUAGCUAGUUGGUGGGGCAACGGCUCACCGUUGGCGACGAUCCGUAGCUGGCUUGAGAUCAUUCAGCCACACUGGGACUGAGACACGGCCCAGACUCAGCCAGGAGGCAGCAGUGGGGAAUUCUGGACAAUGGGGAAACCCUGAUCCAGCCAUCCCGCGUGUGCGAUGAAGGCCUGGCUAAAGCACUUUACAGAAAGAAACGGCACGGGAUAAUACCCCGUGCAACUGACGGUACCCGUAAGAAUAAGCACCGCCAACUACGUGCCAGCAGCCGCGGUAAUGCUGCAGGGUGCAAGCGUUAAUCGGAAUUACUGGGCGUAAAGCGUGCGCAGGCGGUUCUGAAAGAAAGACGUGAAACUUCCAGAGCUUAACUUUGAACUGCAUUUUUAACUACCGAGCUAGAGUGUGUCAGAGGGAGGUGGAAAUUCCGCGUGUAGCAGUGAAAUGCGUAGAUAUGCGGAGGAACACCGAUGGCGAAGGCAGCCUCCUGGGAUAACACUGACGCUCAUGCACGAAAGCGUGGGGAGCAAACAGGAUUAGAUACCCUGGUAGUCCACGCCCAAACGAUGUCAACUAGUUGCUGGGGGCUCUUGGGCCUUGGUAGCGCAGCUAACGCGUGCUUAACGCCUGUGAGUACGGUCGCAAGAUUAAAACCUCAAAGGAAUUGACGGGGACCUGCACAAGCGGUGGAUGAUGUGGAUUAAUUGAUGCAACGCGAAAACCUUACCUACCCUUGACAUGUCUGGAAUCCCGAAGAGAUUUGGGAGUGCUCGCAAGAGAACGGGUGACAGGUGCUGCAUGGCUGUCGUCAGUCGUGUCGAGACGUUGGGUUAAGUCCCGCAACGAGCGCAACCCUUGUCAUUAGUUGCUACGAAAGGGCACCUAAUGAGACUGCCGGUGACAAACCGGAGGAAGCUGCGGGGAUGACGUUAAGUCCUCAUGGCCCUUAUGGGUAGGGCUUCACACGUCAUACAAUGGUCGGGACAGAGGGUCGCCAACCCGGGCGAGGGGGAGCUAAUCCCAGAAACCUGAUCGUAGUCCGGAUCGCAGUCUGCAACUCGACUGCGUGAAGCCGGAAUCGCUAGUAAUCGUGAUCGCGCAUUACCGCAGUGAAUACGUUCCCGGGUCUUGUACACACCGCCCGUCACACCAUGGAGUGGGUUUUACCAGAAGUAGUUAGCCUAACCGUAAGGAGGGCGAUUACCACGGUAGGAUUCAUGAUCAGUGGAAGUCGUGGUCAUGGUAG